GAGCCUGUAGCUCAGCCAGGUAGAGCACUGGUCUUAUAUGCCAGCGGUCAGGGGUUCAAAUCCCCUCAGGCUCA
rnacentral:tRNA from 1 species